rnacentral:rRNA from 1 species
AUGUGGGGCAGUUCAGCUUCUUAACAGUCCUUGGACAAUUUAUCAUUUUAUGUGACCUCAAAUCAGGUAGGACUACCCGCUGAACUUAAGCAUAUCAAU